AACGGGAAUGUCGGCUUCGGCUGACUAGUACCGUGGCGAACGGGUGAGUAACACGUGGGUAAUCUAACCUCGAGUUUGGGAUAACCUUGCGAAAGCGGGGCCUAAUACCGAAUAAGACCACGCUCAGUUCGCUGAGUGCGGUAAAAGGCGGCCUCUUCUUGAAAGCUGUCACUUGAGGAUGAGCCCGCGGCCUAUUAGCUAGUUGGUGGGGUAAUGGCCUACCAAGGCAACGAUGGGUAGCCGGCCUGAGAGGGUGUACGGCCACACUGGCACUGAGAUACGGGCCAGACUCCUACGGGAGGCAGCAGUGGGGAAUUUUGCGCAAUGGGGGAAACCCUGACGCAGCAACGCCGCGUGAGUGAUGAAGGCCUUCGGGUCGUAAAGCUCUUUUAGUGGGGAAGAAUCCCACCCGGGCUAAUACCUCGGGUGUCUGACGGUACCCACAGAAAAAGUUCCGGCUAACUACGUGCCAGCAGCCGCGGUAAUACGUAGGGAGCAAGCGUUGUUCGGAAUUAUUGGGCGUAAAGAGCGCGUAGGCGGUUCGGUAAGUCUGACGUG
rnacentral:rRNA from 1 species